UGUUCUUCAGUGCCAGGAGGAUGUGGUUCAUCUCUUACUGCUCAGCUGAGCUCUACAGCCUCAGGUGGCCACCCCAGAUGGAGACAUUUCUGCUGGUGACAGUGGAGCAGACCCCACGCCUGCUGAACGGGAAGCAAGAUUAAAAAUGCUCAGCAAUUAAGAACUCCAGGAGAUAAAUGAAGCCUGGCUUUAAGUCUCAC